CCAGGCUGGAGUGCAGUGGUGCAAGCAUAGCUCAUUGUAGCCUUGAACUCCUGGGUUCAAGCCAUCCUCCCACCUUAGCCUCCCAAAGCGCUGGGAUUACAGGCAUGAGCCAACACACCUGGCUGGCACCAACUCUCAACCACGCUGUCGCAGAGAGCGGGGCCCCUGCUUGCUGCUGGAUGUCACCUCCCAGCCCUGAGAGGCUGGGGAUGGGAGCCGGCAGCACUCCUUUGCACAGAGCACUGCAGGAAGCACUGGAAUCCGGAAAGAGCGCGGGUGCCGUGAGCAGACUUCCCGGCAGGCGUCAACCUCCUGUGUGGUCAGGAGUGCAGGCGCUGGGGCCGGAACCCUGGGCACUCGACCACAACCGCCUGGGCAACGUGGCCAAGUGGGCGCGUGUCCUGGGGCUCUUGCAACAAGCCAGGUGGCCUCAACAACAGAUACUGAUUCCCUUACAGCUCUGGGGAAUUCCCUUACAGCCCCAAAUUAAGCUGUGGGCAGGGCUGCACUCCCUCCAGAGGCGCUAGAGUGGGAUCUUCCUUGUCUCUGGCAGCUUCUGGUGGCCCAGGCGUUCCUUGGCUUGUGGCUGCCUCCCUCCAGUCCCUGCCUGGCCCUCCCACGGCCUCGGCCCCUCUCCAUGUGGCUCUCCCUGGGUUUUCUCUUCUCUUCAUGAAGGUGCUUGUCCUUCACACCAGGCGCUGUGGUCCAGCCUGACAGCCCAGGACGAUCACGCUGCCAGGUCUUGACCUGAUUAUAUCUGCAAAGACCCUUUUUUCAAAUAAGGUCAUCUUUACAGGUUCUGGGACACAGACAGAUCUUUCUGUGGGGACACCAUUCAACAAAGAGGGGAAGCCACAGCCAGACCCCCCUCCGCUCAAAGGCUUGCUGUUUCCUAACUAUGUUGCCCGCCACACUCCGUGUCUAUAGAGCUGGGACAGUGGCAGUGCCCACCUCAGAGGUCACCGUGCAGAUUAAAUUCAUCCCUAGACAUGAAGUGCUGGCUGCAGGCACAGAGAACUGGAAGGAAAGGUUUCCUGUGACCGUGUGCUCCUUCUGCCCUCGGCUUGGGGUCUCUGCUGUGCUCGGCGUGGGUGGUGACGAGGAUGUCACUGGGUGCACAGCUGGCCCCACAAGCUGCCCGGACCCCAGGCCUCCCCUCUUUCCAGCCAGGAUGUUGUGUGCUCACAGCCUCUCAGGGCCACAGGUGCAGUGACUGCUGCUGCUGUGUGCUUAUUUGCUGCAGAGACUCCACUGGGGCCAGGCUGAGCAGGACUCCCCAGACAUAUCCAGAGGUCCUUCGAGAGGGCCGCAUGGCAGGCACAGGGUUGAGGGGCCUGGUGGCACGGCCACGGCUCACCUGGGAGUGCAGGUGGGAAGCCCCCACACCUAGCAGAGUGCAGCUCCUUCCCGCACAGCCACCUGCGCUCCUUGGCCUGACCCCGUAGGGCUCUCAAUAAGAAACGGGGGCUUCCCCUCCUCCAGUCUCACCCUCAGUCUCCGCGUUGUCUCCUCCCAGCACCUCCUCCUCUGAUGCGUCACAGUCACAGGUCCUGGUGAGGAGGGAGCCACACCAAGCACAGCGGCUGGAACAGGGGCAAGUGGGUGCCCACCCCGAAGUGCAGGCAAUGAACUUGUGCAGUAGCCCAUGGUGAGCUGUGGGGCUGUUUGUGACUGCAGCGUAGCCACGCCCAUCCCGCCUGAUGCGGCCUCUUCAUCCAGAGUGGGGGUGACGUGCCAGCCCCCACCUCGCCGGAAUGCUGGGAGGAGCGUCUCCAGGGAAGGAGCUCACUUUGUCAGCUGUAAUGUGCUGUGACUAUCGUGUGAGCUCCCGGGUCACUCUAACAAGUCCCACAGCCUGGGGGCUUCAACAGAGAGAGCCUGAAUGGCUCUCUCACCAUUCAGGAGGUGGAAUCCAGGGUCAGGGUGCGGCUCCGCUGGCUCCUGAGGCCUCUCUCCUUGGCUCUGUCUCCUGCUACUGUCCUCACAAGGCCAUCCCUCUGUGUGGGUCUGUGUCCUCAUCUCCUCUCCGUAUAAGGAUACCAGGCAGAUUGGGCCAGGGCCACCCCACCAGCCUCAUGUUACCUUAACCACCUCUGUGAGGACCCCAUCUCCAAGUAAGGUCCCUUGCGGAGGCAUUGGGGCUUAGGGCUGCAGCAUACAGAUCUGGGGGAGACACGCGGCCCCUAACAGUAUCAAGGGUGGGUGGACCCCCAUAGGAUAGGACAGCCGCCCAGUGGGGAGACACGUGGCCCCUAACGGUAUCAAGGGUGGGUGGACCCUCAUAGGAUAGGACAGCCGCCCAGGGGGGAGACACGUGGCUCAUAACAGUAUUGAGGGUGGGUAGAGCCCGAUAGGAUAGGACAGCCACCGGGGGAGACACGCGGCCCAUGACAGUCUCGAGGGUGGGUGGACCCCCACAGGACAGCCGCCGGACAUUUCCUCCUCUGCUAGUCUGAAAAUCACACUGUCUUAGGCAGACAGGGAAGAAUCAACAUUUCCAUGCCAGGCAGAGGCCCCCGGAGUGCAAAGGACCAGAGGAUCAAAGAGCAAACGUCACCCUCAGGGUCUAACGUGCAGGUGGCAGGACCCCGGCCCUUCCUGUGUAUCUGAUUGUGGGUUUUGUCUCUGCCACGUGCAGGGAUGGGUGCAGACUCCGUCCAAGGUCUUGGCAGGAAGAGAAAACUGCCACUGCAGAGGGGCUGGCUGAGGGGCUGGGAUGGGGUCCCCGGGGCGCGGAGCUGCACACCAGCCCCUGGCACCUAGGCAGAAGGUCCAUUGCCCUCUGCCCCGCAGCCUGCCCGUUCCCAGGCCAGUGAGGGUGCUCCCAGGCCCGUCUGCAGCCAGAACACAGCCCGUUCCAUGUGCUUGUCCUUGGGACACAUGAGGAAUGAAUCCAGGCCUCAGUCCUGGCCUCCUCCCCAAGGCUGGGUGCUCAGGCGUCCCCCUCAGCCCCUUUCUCUAGACCUUCCGGCUGAACAAACGAAAACAUCUCACAGCCCUGCAACAGCCAGGAGCUGCUCGUGGAGCUCCAGGCCGGCUGGAGAGAGAGAAGGCGCCCUGGGCAGCCCGCCAGCACCCGGGCUCUCACAGCGGAAGCCCACGUCUUCUUGGGCUCUGUUUUGAAAGCUGUUCUUUCCACGAUGGCUUUGACAAGAAUCGAUUUGAGUGAGCCGGCGUGUCAAUACAGGCCAGCACAGGACUGGCCUCAGGGCCACAUUGGGGAGGGUGGCGACCAGGCCCUGGCUGCAGCCCACGUGGGCAAAAGCAUGGCCAGGCAGGAGGUGGGGCCUGUGAGCUUGGCUACAGCGACCGUGGGCGCUGGGCCCGGGGCUCCUCAGCCCUGAGGGGAGACCCAGGCCCAGGCAGGCUCCCAGGCGGGCUCCCGGGCUCCCAGCCUUCUGAUCUUCUCCCUUUGAGACCUUGCCUUCUGCACAGUGACAGGAAAGAGCCCUGAGUCCCACUUUGCAGGGAUGUAUUGCAUUUCCAGAAAGUUCCUUCCGGGUGCAGAGUGAUACGUGAACCCUGGGGACUCACUCCAACUUGGUAUUGAUUUUCUCCACGGAGGACCCAGCAGUCACGGCCCGUGUCUGCACAGCCCCUGGGAUCCUGCGGAGGAAUUCAGCUGGCCCCUCCCCCUGUGCCGAAAACCACGGAGGCAAAGCCAGGCCAGGUUCAGGUUCCACGCAAAGCGCCCUCCUGUGGCCAAGCCCAGCCCCAUGAGGUCAGGAGGCCUGUGUGGGGUCCCAGGUGGGGAGGCCGCCUGUGUGGGGU